CAGUAGCCGCGGGAAAACAGAGGGUGCGAGCGUUAAUCGGAUUUACUGGGCGUAAAGCGUGCGUAGGCGGCUUCUUAAGUCGGAUGUGAAAUCCCUGAGCUUAACUUAGGAAUUGCAUUCGAUACUGGGAAGCUAGAGUAUGGGAGAGGAUGGUAGAAUUCCAGGUGUAGCGGUGAAAUGCGUAGAGAUCUGGAGGAAUACCGAUGGCGAAGGCAGCCAUCUGGCCUAAUACUGACGCUGAGGUACGAAAGCAUGGGGAGCAAACAGGAUUAGAUACCCCUGUAGUCCCUGUCUCUUAUAC
rnacentral:rRNA from 1 species